CCGGCGACCGGCGCACGGGUGAGUAACACGUAUGCAACCUGCCCUCUUCAGGGGGACAACCUUCCGAAAGGGAGGCUAAUCCCGCGUAUAUCGGUUUCGGGCAUCCGAGAUCGAGGAAAGAUUCAUCGGAAGAGGAUGGGCAUGCGGCGCAUUAGCUAGACGGCGGGGUAACGGCCCACCGUGGCGACGAUGCGUAGGGGUUCUGAGAGGAAGGCCCCCCACACUGGAACUGAGACACGGUCCAGACUCCUACGGGAGGCAGCAG
rnacentral:rRNA from 1 species